UACGAAGGGAGCUAGCGUUGUUCGGAAUUACUGGGCGUAAAGGGCGCGUAGGCGGGUUUCCAAGUCGGGGGUGAAAUUCCAGGGCUCAACCCUGGGACGGCCUUCGAUACUGGGAGCCUGGAGAUCGGGAGAGGUGAGUGGAAUUCCUAGUGUAGAGGUGAAAUUCGUAGAUAUUAGGAAGAACACCAGUGGCGAAGGCGGCUCACUGGCCCGGUACUGACGCUGAGGCGCGAAAGCGUGGGGAGCAAACAGG
rnacentral:rRNA from 1 species